UCCUCAUUCACAUUACAACAUUAUAUACAUCUUGCUCAUGAUUCCAACUUCUAACUUGUCAAAUAUAUGAGGAGACCGACCCAAUCCCUCACACUGUCCACAAAUAAUGUCCUACUACCCAAAAUGAUGCACUUUAGCACACUUCCAGGUUGUAAUAACUUUCAAAAUUCCAGAUCUUGCCUAGUUUCUCUACACCAACAACAAUUACUCUCUUCGAAAUAAUCUUCUGAAAUAACCACGUUUGUACACUUUAGUCUUAAG
rnacentral:lncRNA from 1 species